UCUCUCUCUCUCUCUCUCUCUCUCUCUCUCUCUCUCUCUCUGCUCUCACUUUCUUGUUCCAUUUCAGAGGAGGAAACACCUGGCCUGGAGCAGCCACCAGCGUCCCCAGGGUCUGAUCUGGAGAGGGACCCUCCUGUCCAGUCGCAGCUGGGCCCCAAGCGGAGCCGUGUGAUCCACAGUGACGACGACGAGGACCCCAAAAGCCGAGCUGAAGCGCCAGCCCAGCCGGACCCCAGCUCAGACGGGGAGGGGACACGGCCCCCCCGCCAGAGGAAGCGCCUGCGGAUCGAGGAGGAGGAGGAGGAUUAAAGGGGCCUGGCCAGACCCCCCCGCACGUCGCCUUGGCCUGACCCCCCCCCCCCAAGGCUCCUCCAGACUGCUCUCGGUGUGACCGGCCGCUUCAAACCCUCCCCUCCACCCGCUGCCUGUCGGCCACGCACAGCCGGGGGGGAGGGGGGCAGUGCUGGGGCCAGGCCGUCGGGGGCACAGAUGUGGGGGGGGGCACUGAGGAGCCAGCCCCUGCCCCUUCCUGGUUCCUUUUGCUUGUAAUUCCCCCACAGAGGGGUCACUCCCCCCCCCCACCCCAGGGGGGUGACGUGGUUUGAAUUGGGUUCUGGGUUCCAAGGUUUGUUUGUUGCCCACAAUAUGGUUCCCCCCUCCACCCCCCAAGCUGCUGGUGUCAUCAGGGUUAAAGGUUGUGGUCCCCAAAGGAAGCAAAGGGCCGUGUGCUCCCUGGCGGGCUGGGGGCUGCGCCCCCAUGUGUGGAGGGGACGUCCUUGGCCCUUCCCCUGGGGCGGCUGAGCCAAAAGGGGGCCUAGGCUGUCCCACCCCCGGCCCUGGGCUAGAGCUGCCCUCCCCCCGC